AUCAAAUAUAAUAUUUUUAAUGAGCUUAUAAAAACUAGUACUUCCUCCGUCCCAUUUGUAGAGGCUAGCUAUCCUUAUUUUCUUGUCCCAAUUAUAUAGUCAUGUUUCUUUAUUGAGAAUGUUUUGAAAGGGGAAACGAGGCUAGCUAUACCUUCGUUGUUUCUCUUCCGUUGUCCAAUAAGCUGACAUCUUCUCAAAACCCAGCAGCGUAUCAUCCAAAUUCAAUUGCGGCAAAAUAGCCCUCGUCUUUACUUGCCAAAAAUAAAACAUUUUAUUGCGAUCUAGUAGCAGAAUGUCAUACUUUAUGGCAGUCAUCCUUGAAAAAUCCCAACCAAUCCACGGAAGAAGAACUAAACUCUCAUACCAUUUGUUGGACCCGAAAGGAUUGUAAUGAAUGAGAUUAAUGAUACAAUAUGAAGUACUAAAGAUCACACUAAAGAAAUAAGAUUAAAAGUAAAGAAAAAUAAAGAGAGUUAAUCGCAGAGGAACAAUGCAUAUUAACUGACAAUAUAGAGAGAAAUUACAGAUGUAAUAAUAAUGUUUAAACAAAACAAACAGAGGAGCAUUUUAUUUAUAGACUAUGUUUCAAGCCCUAGAAGAGCCCUAAAAGGUAAGAAAAUAUGUUAAAAUUAUGUUACAAUUGCGCAUAGAACUUUGAGAAAGAGAGGAUUUUCUUCCUUAUUCGACUUGGAUAUAAUCUUCCUUUCCAAGUAAAAAUCAAACACGCAAUCUUAUAAGACUCCUAACAAUAUUUGAGUCACAAAACCUAACAACUUUACCCUAAUGAAAGGAGAAUAAAAAAGGUAAAUCACAAGAGGUUAAGCUUAAGGUCAAAAGAUGGGUUAAAUACAAAAAUUAUCAUUGAGUUGCAAAAAAAAGUACCAUGAUGGAUUGAUUAACGAGGAUGCCAACAAGGCUACCACGUUAGUUUUCUUGGUAGUAAAACAAAUGUAGAUGAACACGAUACCAAAAUGUAUAACAAAUAUCCAUAUAUAAUGACAAACAUAAAUUUGGUAAGAAGUUCUAUGACGACCACUGUUUUUAACACUCACAAGACUAUAAACUCCACAUAUCAACAAAGCUAGAGCAGAUAAAUAGAAAUGCAAGAAGAAAUGUCAAGGUACCUUCAAAGUAAUGUCAGAUCCAAACGUACAUCAUCAGUCACCUUCAAGCUAUCCAGCUCAAUGAUACUCGGGCUUUAUAUCUCCUUCACCAAGUUUUGGGGGAAUAGAGUUUGUCUCAUUCUCUAUUAAGGUUUAUAUAGAGAAGAAUAAACCCUAAAAUUCUGAAAUUGAAGUUUGCAUAGAGGAUUUUUGGACAGAAAAUAUGUACGAAAUGCAAAUUGAGAUAUGAAUAAUAGUGAUCUCUAGAGUGGAUUGAAGAUUUUCUGAAUUUUUCAAGCUUGAAAUUUUCAGAUUUAAUGCUAUAAUGAAGAAACGGUAGUUGGGGGAUUAUUGGGAGAUAAUUGGGGAUGGCAGUGAGGCUUGUUUAGAGGAAUGAUUUUAGCUUUUAGAUAUAUUAAUUAUGGGAUUGAGAAUAUUUUGUAUUUAUCAUCUAUACUUCAUAUAUUGAAGUAUUUUUGGAAUAAAAAACUUUGAAAUGUAAAAAAUUGAAUUUUUGUAUGUGGUGAAAUUUCCACAUUUAUAUACCUAAAUAAUUGAUUGAUCCCUGACAUACUUUUACACCCCAAAUUAUUCAUUGAUUUAAAUCGUAAAUGACAUAUACGUAUUAUUCCGGUCCAAACUAUUUAUUUUUUUAUAAAUUGGUUCGCGUUCAGAUAAGGUUCGAUUAAGCUCUUUGAAUAGUGUGAACACAAGCCAAGCCUUUCAAAAUUAAUAAAAUGAAUUGAAAAAGAGCUAACACAAGAGCUCAAGAUGAGUCGGCUCAUGGGCCACACAAGUCGAGCCUACUUGACUCGUAAAAAAAUUUGAGCUCGACUAGACUUGUGACUCUCUCAAAAUGAGGCAGGCGACCCAUGGACUGAGUUUACGAGAGGCUCAACCCAUUUACCACUCAUACGUAUAUUACUUAAUUAAUUUCCUCAACAAUUUCUUUCAUCUAUCACCUAUGGUGCGUUAUGCUCGAAUUAAUACAAAUCCAACUAAAACUAGUAAAAUUUUCCUUUCUACCCACACUAAAAUUAAUGUCAAAAAACAAAGUCUCAAAUACACGACAGUAACUUAGGGAUGAAAAAUGCCCCUGCCCCUCUCCUCAAAUCGUUGUGCAUCGCCUUACCGUAAAUGAGACAUGAUAAUUUCCCAUCUCUUUAAAAAAUCCUCAAAGGCCGGAGAAUGGGAACAUGUCUGGUCCCACCCAUCCUGCCACAAUAACUCAACAGCUUGAGACCAAAUCUGUAAAUUCAACAAGUGAAAAACUAUUACAAAACACCAACAUUUUGGCCCUUUUUCUACUAUUUUAUGGUAAGGAUGACAAAAAAAUCCAUUAAACAGAUUCUCUCAAGCUCCUUCCCAAACGGGAUAGGAAUUACCCCCCUAAUCGGAUAAAUGGAGCUGAGUACAAGGGCUAGAUGGGGUCGUUGCCCAAAAGUGAGGAUGGGGCAAGUACGAAAACCAUGAUCCUCGUCCUACCACCCUCUUUGUUUAAAGUUCAUUUCAUAUUUAAUUUUUUUAUUAAACAAAAGGAAAAAAAUUAUCAUCAUUUCUAAACGGAACUGGGAUUAUUCUAAACAAAUUUAAAAAAAAAUAAUAAUAAUAACAAUAAUAAUAAUU
rnacentral:lncRNA from 1 species